rnacentral:sRNA from 2 species
UUUAGAAAUUAUAAUCUUACCAGGGAAAUCCGGUGUAAUUCCGGUGCUGUGCCGCAACUGUGAUUCCGCCCAAGGCGGAUAAGCCAGGUCGCUGGUAGGAUAUUUCUCUUCGAGCAAAGAAACUG